rnacentral:rRNA from 1 species
GAUGAACGCUGGCUACAGGCUUAACACAUGCAAGUCGAGGGGAAACGACGGGGAAGCUUGCUUCCCCGGGCGUCGACCGGCGCACGGGUGAGUAACGCGUAUCCAACCUGCCUCUGACUGAGGGAUAACCCGUCGAAAGUCGGCCUAAUACCUCAUGGCAUCGUCUGCGGGCAUCCAACGACGAUUAAAGAUUUCAUCGGUCAGGGAUGGGGAUGCGUCUGAUUAGCUAGUUGGCGGGGUAACGGCCCACCAAGGCGACGAUCAGUAGGGGUUCUGAGAGGAAGGUCCUCCACAUUGGAACUGAGACACGGUCCAAACUCCUACGGGAGGCAGCAGUGAGGAAUAUUGGUCAAUGGGCGAGAGCCUGAACCAGCCAAGUAGCGUGCAGGAUGACGGCCCUAUGGGUUGUAAACUGCUUUUAUGCGGGGAUAAAGUGAGGGACGUGUCCUUCAUUGCAGGUACCGCAUGAAUAAGGACCGGCUAAUUCCGUG